UGAGUCGGCUGGGCAGUCGCGCGCGGGUCAAACCGCGUGAGGAAAGUCCGAGCUCCGCAGAGCAGGAUAACGGCUAACGGCCGCCGAGGGUGACCUUAGGGAAAGUGCAACAGAGAUAUACCGCCAGUUAUUUGCUUUCUUGUUGGUUAGCGGGUCUAGCAUCUACUAUCUAACAUCUAGCAUCUAACUUGGUAAGGGUGGAAAGGCGAGGUAAGAGCUCACCGACGCUGCGGGGGACCGUGGCGCCCUGUAAACCCUAUCCGGAGCAACACCGACCGGGGACGCGUGUUAAAAGCGCAGCGCUUGCUCGGCGCAUUCCCCAACGGGUGGCAGGACCGCGCCAGCAAUGGCACGGCAAGAAAGAUGAUUGUCUUCAACGACAGAACUCGGCUUAUACGCCGACUCACACC
rnacentral:RNase_P_RNA from 1 species